AUUAAUAUAAUCAACAGCUGUCUCAAGUCAUGGCGAAGGUACGACGCAAUUUACUAAUUAAUAGUUUAAAACUUCAUUUUGCUUCAAUUAACUUAUCAUUUACAUUUUCACACUUUUUAAAGAGGUUAUUAAUUAUUAUAUACAUUGAACUUAUUGCAGCAAUUAAAAGAAGCGACCCAGAAGCAAGCUCAAAAACUCUCCAACACGAUUAUAAAUGACGAGUCUUUUUUUCUUAUUUAGCCAAUUCCCGAGGAGUGGAAUCUAGGAGCAGCAGCAGUAGAUGAUGAUGGAGGUGUGGCAGACACGCCGAGCAUGCUGCAGGGGGUGUAUGGAGGCGGUGGAGGAAAAAAGAAGCUGUGCAUAUUCCAGCACAAUCCCAAGUUCUGUGUUACUCAGGAGAAGGCCCUAUGAUACUUGAGCCUAAAAGUAAACAACUUCAUGUCAAGUCCGUUCGAUUAUAAAGCAAAUUAAAUUGUUUGUGUGUAAUA